rnacentral:rRNA from 1 species
GACGAACUGUUCUAACGUUAUUCGGAAUCACUGGGCUUAAAGGGCGCGUAGGCUGUUUGUUAAGCGGGGUCUGAAAUCCCUCGGCUCAACCGAGGAACUGGGCUUCGAACUGGCAGACUAGAGUGAAGUAGGGGUAAGCGGAACUUGCGGUGGAGCGGUGAAAUGCUUUGAUAUCGCAAGGAACACCGGCGGCGAAGGCGGCUUACUGGGCUUCAACCGACGCUUAAGCGCGAAAGCUAGGGUAGCGAACGGGAUUAGAUACCCCUGUAGUCCCUGAGCGGGCUGGCAA